rnacentral:rRNA from 1 species
GUGGGGAAUUUUGGACAAUGGGCGCAAGCCUGAUCCAGCAAUGCCGCGUGCAGGAAGAAGGCCUUCGGGUUGUAAACUGCUUUUGUACGGAACGAAAAGGCUCUGGUUAAUACCUGGGGCUCAUGACGGUACCGUAAGAAUAAGCACCGGCUAACUACGUGCCAGCAGCCGCGGUAAUACGUAGGGUGCAAGCGUUAAUCGGAAUUACAGGGCGUAAAGCGUGCGCAGGCGGUUUUGUAAGACAGACGUGAAAUCCCCGGGCUCAACCUGGGAAUGGCGUUUGUGACUGCAAAGCUGGAGUGCGGCAGAGGGGGAUGGAAUUCCGCGUGUAGCAGUGAAAUGCGUAGAUAUGCGGAGGAACACCGAUGGCGAAGGCAAUCCCCUGGGCCUGCACUGACGCUCAUGCACGAAAGCGUGGGGAGCAAACAGGAUUAGAAACCCCGGUAGUCC